rnacentral:rRNA from 1 species
CUACGGGAGGCAGCAGGCGAGAAAACUUUGCAAUGUGCGAAAGCACGACAAGGUUAAUCCGAGUGGUCUCUGCUAAAGGGACCUUUUGACAGUCCUAGAAACACUGUUGAAUAAGGGGUGGGCAAGUUCUGGUGUCAGCCGCCGCGGUAAAACCAGCACCUCAAGUGGUCAGGAUGAUUAUUGGGCCUAAAGCAUCCGUAGCCCGCUUUGCCAGUUUUCGGUUAAAUCCAUAUGCUCAACAUAUGGGCUGCCGGGAAUACUACAAAGCUAGGGAGUGGGAGAGGUAGACGGUACUCGGUAGGAAGGGGUAAAAUCCUUUGAUCUAUUGAUGACCACCUGUGGCGAAGGCGGUCUACCAGAACACGUCCGACGGUGAGGGAUGAAAGCUGGGGGAGCAAACCGGAUUAGAUACCCGGGUAGUC